UACCCCAUAAUUGAGGUGUCUGGCCGUACAAGAAGCAGGAGGGCGACAAGGGUUCUUCACCAAACCCUAACUCUCACAAAAAUUGAUCAAUUGAAGGAUCAAAUCAAGUCCAAAACGAAAAUCGAGCAUAGAUUAAUGAUCCCCAUUGCAAGGAGAACAUAAGCUUGACACCUAACGAGCUAGAUGGAAGCUUGUGGAUGAAGCGGGUCAAACGGAGCAAGUACGGAAAGAAAAGCGAAGUAUGGAUGCAAGGUGAAUAUCAAGAGUACCCGAAUGAGGAUCAAGCGACGAAAAGAACCGAACAUAUGAAAAAGAAGCUUCCGCACGUUGCAUCGUUGUUAUUUCUAAAUGACGAAUCUAAUUACAUUCUGUUGUAUCAUUUUCACAUUGUAAAAGUUUAAAUAAACCCGUAUUUUCAUAAGUAUAUGUAGUCGUAAUUACUUAUUUCUUUUCGUAAUUUAUACGAAAAGCGAUAAAUAAUAGUACGGGUGUUACACCAAU